UUUUCGAUCCUUGAAAAAAGUGUGCACCCCUGCGAAAAGAAAAAAACACUAGAGAUUUCAAUGGGGGAAGGAGGUGUACCCCCCUCGAACCGGAACAAUACAUAAUUUUUCCGGCCGGUAAAAAUGGGUGUGUCCCGGUGAAAUGCAUAAAGAUCUGGUUGUCUCCGGUGGCAAAGGCUGCCCCCUGGACAAAAACAAAAACUCAGUCGAAAGCUGGGGAGCAAACAGGAUUAGAACCCUGGCAACCACACCUAUACAUGUCCACUUGAGGUUGUGCCUUGAGCCCUGCUUCCGAAAUAACUCUUUAGUCGACGCCUGGGAUACGGCCGACGGUAAACUCAAGAUUUGCGGGUCCCAACAGCAUUGACAUUUGUUUAAUCUUGAACACAAAAUCCUAUUCUCUUGACAUCAACACUUUCCGAAAGGGUUGGUGUCCUAAACCCUGAAGAGUGUUUAGGCCUUCUCACCAGUUUUGAAGUUCGUUAAUUCGAACAACGUCUCUUACCUUGGUUCAACUACCGACCGGAAUCAAGGUCCUCCGCUAAAACGUGGGAUGGGGGCACCUUCCAUUAACGGGCACUAUAUCCGGGAAACUCUACAAAAGGCCAAUAAUAACCCCUCCCAUAAUUUAGGAAUUUUAGUGGCUCUCUUCCGUUUGAUCUCGCUCCUC
rnacentral:rRNA from 1 species